UCUCCUGCUGGGUCCUGUAGAACCCAGUAAGUAGCAUGGGAAAUUUUGUUGUGUGCUGUUGCCCAGGAUCGGAAGAGCACACG